GGCAUUUUGUGUAUGUAAGCAAGUCUAGUCGUCUUGGCAAAGCAGUAGAUAUCUCUGGAGGCAGGAGGAAACAUGCUUUGGAUGUGCUUGCAUGUUUCUAAGCCUUUAAAUGUUUAAAUGUUUCUAAGUCUUUAAAUGGCAUGCGACAGGUAAAUGAAUCACCUGCCACAGGAUUUCUCUGAGUGUCUCUAGCUGAAAUAGGUCAGGCACUUGAAGCAGCUGAAGCUGAGUCCAGGCCAGAAAUCUGGCCCCUAGUGCAUCACUGGGAUUUCACGUGCAGCCUGUGUUGGAUGGAACCUGUGGAACAGAGAUGACACAUGAAUAAGGUGCUUCCUAGCAAAAUUGUUUGCAAAUCUUUCUGAAGUGGAAGGCUGUCUCUUCACGUUUUGGGGCCCGGGGGUGUUCUGCCUCAUCCUUUUGACUGAUAAUAGAGUUGUGCCCACCUGGCUGGUGGCAUUGCCCACAUCUGAUUAGAUGCAUUUGUUCCUGUCGCAUCAGCUGAGUGUUCAGUUAUCCAAGAUCUUGUCCCCCUUUAUUCCCUUCAAUUGCUUCAUUGCUUACACUGUGAGUGGAGCUGCAGUGAACUUGUGACCAGUGUCCUUCACUGCAGUCACAGCAGUAAGGCUGGAGGGCAGUGGUGAUCGCAGCCUUCACAGGGGCAUCUCAGUAACUUCCCCCUGCUGUAAACUCUGAGCCCAGGUUCCCCCACUGAGGGGAGAAAUGACGAACCUUCAAAGGGUCUCUUGGCUGGUGCAGUGGUGUGACAGUCCUGUGACAGUCCUGACACAGCAGCCUGGGUAGUUGGAGGUCUGUAGCUGGCUCUGGGGAAUUAAACCCAGCAGUGUUUGUGCUCACUUUGGGAGAGAAUUAAAUGCUAUUAGUGGUUUACGAACUGUAGGUGUUGAACCUAUGUGGGGCCCAUUGGGACCUCAAACCCACUGUUCUAGGUACUGUGGUGUGCCCCACAGGGAAAGUGCAAACCAGUGCAUUAGGGUUAUUAAAUGAAACCUACACUUAAGAUGCAUGAAUUUUCUGCAGAGUGCAUAUAAACCUCUUGUGCACGAGCUGUGGAUUUGUGCAGCGUGGUUUGGUUUUCUGAAGUGUGCACUUUGAGCUCAUGUGCAGUGGGCUUUUAUGUGUAUUUCUGCAGGUGAACAUAUGCUUAAGGGUCUGCCCCUGUGCAUUAAGUAUGCAGUUAAUGUAUGGAUAAUUGUUUUGUAAGCACUGUAUUUACGGCACUGCUUUCUCCAGCAUACACGUUGUGUGCGUACAACCCAUAAGUGUCACGUCAUUUGACUGUUCUAUUUUCCUGUCUUCUGGACUGAACAAUUGAGGGUGUUUUUGGAGUGCAUCGGAUGUAUUAUUUCCUUUCACAGCAAUUGUACAUUUGCUAAUGUCAAAUUUAUUCUGAAUUGUAAACUGACACAGUUCUCGACUGGAUAGACCAAGAUCUUUGUUGCACAGAAUGGACGGAUGUUUUAUUUGCAUGCUCAGUGUAUGUGUAUUCCGAAAGCACACACGCUUUUGUUGUCUGCAGAAAUAGCAGGUGCUUCGCACUGAAAAUAACCUGUGUUGUAAAUGUUUGUGAAGGUGGGGGUUAUAGCAUUUAUGCUCAGAGCCCGCAACAAAAGUGUAUUUUAUCUCUAAAAAUCAGCGUGCUCUGUGUUAUGGUUGUGCAGCGUAAGCACAUAUUUUCCUGCAUUUGCUGGCACAGUUACAGAAGUGUUGAGUCUUCAUAUUGUUAAAAUAACAGAAGAGUUGUCCACAUAUUUUCUAAUUUUUUAAAAUAUCCUCCAGCUUCUGUGGUUUAAAUUUCUAAGCGUCUGUCCAAGAGAUAUAUGUCAAAACAUCAGGAAGGAUAUUUAGGCAGUUAUGUCAGCGGAAUGGAGCAAGGUUGUGAGUUAAUGCUUUUCUGAUGCAAUAGAAAAGGGAAAAUGGUGAAAAAGAGCCACAAAUAAAAUAUAAAAUGAACAAGAUCAACCAAGGUAAAGUUGAGGUUUGUUCUUAAAUUGGAGGCACCUACAACAAAAGAAUUCAGAUGACUAUAUUCCUGUUUUAUGCCAUCCUGUGAUCACGUCGUCCUGUCCCAGACCUCACAGCCUCUCGGGUCAGUCCCCAGGAAUCAGGAAGGAUGAUGUAGUGCUUCCAGCCUUGGUCCUUCCUCUUUGGCUGUCCUGCCCGGUAGUCAGGUGCCUUGAAAAGGAGUUAAGGCCUUCAUUAUCCCACCAUUUCUUUUCAAUGACAUUUUAAAGAGCUGACACAGAGGAGGCAUGAUUGAAGCACCUGCUGCUUUUCUCUGUAAUUACCCAGUUUCCUUGUUGGGGCUGAAAUUAUUGCCCUGCAAGAGUGCAACGUCCCUAUUAUCACGUAAGAGCCAAACACAAACCUGUCUGGCUGCAGCUGGCACCAUUCCACGUAAAGACAAAAAUGAUUUUCCUUGGCUGCUGGGCUAUACCGCAGGGUACCCAAGCCCAGAUUAAAGUGGUAGAGCUGGAGGGGAGGUGAUGUGUGGCUUGAGAUGCUUCUCAGACUGUAAUUAGUCCUCUAACAGCCUUUGAUGUGGAUUAGCUGACUGGAGGCCUUGCCUGUAGCCAGGGGUAGGAGUGGGAGAGCACAGCCAGGAUCUAAAAGGGGCAAACCUGAGAAAAAUUAAGAACGGGUUCAAGUCACAGUAAUCAAGUGAUGGUUGAGGAAAAGUCCUGCUUGUUGGACACAUUCUGCAGCAUUGGCUUCUUAGAAGGUGUCUGAAGAGGGUCUGCAGCCAUUGCCAAGGGAACUGCGUCUGGAGAUAUGGGAAAACAUGAAAGCAGGAACAGUUAACAUUUCUUGGCCUUUUUUGCAAAAGGCAGGAGCAUGCCAGGGACUGUGUGAGACCCCAGAGGGAGCUGGCGGGGAUUCUUGUAGUAUUUGUUGCCCAGCUGCUAUUUUGACUUCAAAUCCAUAAGAAUCAACAAAUAACAAGGCCUGGAGCUUGAGUACUGUCCCCUGAGCUGAGUUCUCUGUCUCUACCUGAUUCUAAAUUGAGCUCCAAGACAGAUGCAGGAGCGUUAGCCAGUGGAUGUGCAGAGUGAGAGAAGGAAGGAAAGAACAGGAGGAUUAGGCUGGAGGAUCACUGCAGUAAAUGACUUCCAUGCUCAGAGAGCUCGAAAGCCCUUUGUAAUAAAGGAGAAGGCAAAACCAAAUUCCGUGUAGCCUCUGAGCCGUGUGGAUAAACCUUAGCUCAGCCCAGUGGGUUUUUGUGGAGCUCAGCUCUCACCCAGCCGUCUGCCCCUCGCUUCCCAUUCCCCUUAGCAACACGGGCUGCCUCUCCCCUGCCUCCUCUCCCUCCAGCAUCUUGUGACAGGCAUGGAAACCCUGGGAUCCCUGAUGCUGGAAUGGCAUUUGGGCCUAGCUGGAAUUGUUUAUAAGCACAGAGCUUUGAUGCUGUCUCCAAAGCCUCUGGAGAGCUGAGCAGGGCUAUUUUUCAUGUGAUGCUUUUGGAGAAUGUUAUGGGAAAAGGUCAAGGGACAUAGUGGGAAUGGGUAGGUCACAUACUCAUUGGUUUAGGGCACCGCGACAACAUUGCUUCUUUAAGAUCUCAGAGCCUGCUUUGUAAAAAUAAGCACCUCUCACUGAGCUGCCUGGGAAAGAAGAGGGGCAUGUCUCCUGCAGGCGGAUGUUCACAGCCUUCUCUGGGUUCGUUCUCUUGCCUUGGCAGUUGCUGCGUCUGAGUGUCCCUGUGAACCAGACAGAUCCCUCAGACUGUGCAGCAUUUUAAAAAGCUUCCUUGCUUACCACUUUGACCUUUGUAAGGCAAGGAGAAAUUCUGUACAAGCAGGGGCUGCCUUCUGCCCCUGGCACUCUUUGUGGCUGUCCUUCAGCGGGAUCUGGGCACAGCGCUGCAGGGUUCAUUGGUCCAUCCUUGUGUCCUCCAUGCUGGGUCUGUGGGCAAAAAGAGCUCCAGGAUGGAGCUAUUUGACACCCCCCCCCUUUUUGAUUUUACGUGCUGUCUUUGCUUGUUUAAAUCUGGGAUGAGGAGCAGUCUAGCAAGGAUUGUCCUCCCUUUCUUCCUCCCUGAUGCACGCUGCCACACUGCAGAUAACAGGCUGGGUGCGGGGCCUGUGUGAAGGAGCAGGAAGCAGAGGGGUGAGGUACAAGUCAUGUACAUUGGAAGCAGAAGCUGAAUGUGCAUUUCCUUACUCUUGCCAUCAAUCAUUCAAAUUUCCUGUACACUGUGGAACAGAGUGGUAGAGUUUGCUCAUUCCCCAUUUCCCCCAGGAAUGGAAGCACUCAUUUGUUUCACUGUCUAGAAGUGCUGAUCACUCAUAUUUGUUUUUUUCCGACGCGUGCCGUUCAGAAGCUGACCUUUUCAGCUUCUUCCUUCUUGGCCUUCGGAAAUAUCUUCAGAUCUCCGGCAGACCUGGAGAAUCUCACUGGUGCUCUGUCUCUGUUAAGGGACGGAAAGACGCUGCUGCAGUAAAGCCCACAGCCUUUAGAACAGGUGCUUUAUUGCAGAGCACUGGCAAAUACCCCGUGUUCUCCACAAAGCUCGUUGUUUUAACUUGUUCCUGUGAUCUUGCAUCCAAUACAGCAUAGUGAGGGCCAAGCCCUGCUUGUCAUCGGAAACCAUUGCAUGACUAUUCUGUGGGACUAACAAAUCUGUUGAGAGAGAGUUACAGACAAUUAUGUGGAAGAGAGAGACCAGCAUGUGUUCACUUUACUUACAGUGUAUCUCUGCUGGAAGGCACGGGGACAGUAGCAGAAACAUAGAGCAUGGGGCUGGGAAAAAAUUAGAGGGAGAAAAAAAGGAGAAACAGAAGCAGAAGAAAGAGUAGGACAAACAGGAAACUGAAUUAAAAGUUGUCUGACUCUUUUCAUAGCAAGUAGCAUAAAUGCAAUAAGCAUGGAAGACAGCCCUUAAGAAAUGACCCCUGUGUGUGUGUUUAUGAUAAUGCGUGGCAUACAUCUGUGGGUUUUAGAUGGUGUCUGGUCUCUGAUUAAGAAGAAAUGCCUUCCUAUUAUUUAACAAUCUCUAAUUAGCCAUAUUCUCAUUCCACAUAGGAGUUGACAAUUCCUUUGUGGGUGCACUCAGGCAAUGGCCAGUUCUGGAGACACGGCAAACCAAAGGGAUGGGGUGCUAUAAAGCUCUUGUGUGACUUUGGUGUCUCUUGGCAUCCCUGGGAAGCUUGGUUAUGGCAUGGUAUCUCUGCAGCUUCCCUGGCAUGGCUGGGAGAGGUGUAUUGGUAGGGUUCAGUUCAAUUACUGUGACAAAGGAGCUGAUGAAGCUCUGUGUCCUUGGAACACAGUCGUGGCCUGGAAAUUUUUAUGAGCUGUGCGGGGCUGAAACCCCAUUCCCUUGGGUUGUGAGCUCAGCAGCUUUUGAGCUCAGCCAUUGUGGGUCUGGGCAGAACCCGCAGGGGAGUCCUGUCAGGGAAAACCCAAGGGCUGGAAGGAAAUGUUGCUGAUGACUCAAUAGGCAGAGCUCUUCCCUCUGUUGAUGUUGGAGCUGAGCCACACAGACACAUCCCUCCAUAAUUACCUACUGGUUGCCUGAAGUUCAUGCUUUUUAACCACUGGCAUUCUCGUUUGCAGUCCACACACCCAGACGUGUGAUGCUGGAAUCCACACACGAGCCUGGGUAUUGCAUCGAUGCUUGCAGGCUCUGAGAAGAAAGGAUGUGUUUGCCUCCGGGAAGAGGUGUGUUUGCCCAUGCAUGCACGUGUUAUUGAGCCUCUACAGAUGCUCUGACUGCAGGAGGUGAUGUCAGGUGGCAGUGGUUUGGUGUUUGGGGGUGGGUGUGGGGCAGUUAGGUAGCGUGGAUGGGGGAAGGGAUGGAUUGGGAUGACAAAACAUCAUGACAGAGGGAGAAAAAUCUCAGUUGUGUCCCACAUUAAGCAACAGAGACCCUUAGUGGUCACCCGGUGUAAAACACAGUGCUGUGUGAUGGAUUGCUUUUUUUUUUUUUUUUUUGCAUUUGCUCAUUUCAGACAUGAAUUCAUGUAAUAACUUGAACUUCAGAAACAAAAAGAUGUUCAAUUUCAAUUGUUUUAACUGCUGUGAAUAAUUUCACUUCUGUUUUUUUCUGGGUUCUUAAUGGUCUAUUUUGAAACAAGGAGGUGUUUUGUGAAACUGACACAUUUUCAAUCCCUAUUGAUCACCAUAUGAUAUUGCUGUAUUUCAAGCAGCAUCACAAUAACCGUGUUCUAAGAACACUUCAGAUAUUUUAGGGAAUUUACUUCACCUGGUUUUGUGCAUCCAGGCACACUGACUACCUCGCCUCUUCUUCCCUGCUUCUACCAGCCUGGUGUCAGAGUGAAACUGAAUUUGGUGAAUUAGCUGGCUGGAUCUGCAACACCCUCAUGCACCCUGCUAGCAAAUGCACAGAUAAUCUGACAAAUAUUGCUGUUCCUAGAGGAGUUAUUUCGAUGUGAUUAGCCUCUUUGCUGCGAGUGGCAGGGGGGUCAGCCUACCCACGCGCUGCCUUCCUGUCCCGAGAGGCCUACUGGCGUGUGGGCCUCUGAUGGCUCUCAGUCUCUCUGGAACAACUUAGGAAAUAACCAGCAUCAGGAAAAUCAUCCCAACUCCGAGGCUUUUUAUGGGGUUUGCUCACUGUCAUCUCGGUGGUCAGAGACUGCUGCCCUUCAGGUGACCUCUUGUCAGGCUGGCAAUCAGGCAGGAUGGGCUGCACAUCUCUGGGGGGUGGCUCAUUUGGGGUAAACCACAUGGGGAUGUGGAAAACAAGGAUAAUGGUCUGACUUACCUUUGCAAAGAGCUUAGAGAGCUGGGCUGACAAGUGUUUUGAAAGAGCUAUACCCUGUUACAGCGACACUGCCUUUGCCUGCCCCCACCGCCAAGCUUCAGCACAGGCAGACUUUAAGGGCUCCCUGAGGACUCUGCCAGCAGGAUUUCUUAUUUUCCUUAUUUUACUCUCUUCCAGUGAUGUUCAGCCACAAUGUAUAUUACAAAACGAUUAUGGCCAUGAUUAGGGUGCUGUGUUAUCAUCACCCAGUGAAUAGCCAUUCCCUGGAUCCCACUGGAAUCCACUUCCAUUCCUUGAAGUGACAGGCCAAAAUUAAAAUGGUCCUGCAAAAAAAAAAAAAAAAAAGAAUCCAGAAAGCUGAGAUUUCUUCUCAGCCCAAAUUCCCUUCAGCAUUGGUGUUAUUAGCAUUUAUUAUUAUCUGUCAAUGCUCUAAGUAGUAAAUUUUCUGAGGUCAUGAGUUAUUGCUUCAUCAAGAGAAGCUGCAAAUGAGGCUGCAUGCAAACAGGUGAAUGGAUGGGCUUAGAGCCUCCUGAGCCUGAACAACCCCCCUGUAGCUGGAGAAAAGGUUCCAAGAGAUCAGGCCUUAAGGUUGGUGUCUUGAGCAUCACUGUGAGACCUCUUCACAGAGCUUUCAACUCUUGGUCAAGUGUCAGUAGAGUCCAUCUGAGUAAAUUGUCCUCCACUGAGCAGUCUUCUCUGCUCUCGUCCCAGGAGCCUCCCCUGGAAAUCUGCCAUAUGCUCAAGCCCAGCCUCAGCACUGACAGCUCUGGUUUACGUACUGGUUGGCAGACAGUCUGCAUCUGUAGCAGAUAACGUAUGUGAAACAAGUGGUGAUUGUUUCUUUAAGGCCCCCCUCCUCUCUCUUCCCCUCUCUACUAUUUCUCUCUUGAUAAUCCUGCUGAUGCAGAAUUUUUCUCUUGCUCAAUUUCAUUGCACCUGCUCAUCUAAACCAGGCUGCGUGGAGUUUGCUCAAACUGAGCUUCAUCUGACAGCAGAAGCAGCACCCAAAAGCACAUUCAUACGCAGAGAAGAGUCAUUACUAUGAAGAGUGAAGCCUGGCUUAGGCAGCUUAGAUACCUGGCUUAGGUGGCCCAUAGCAGCUAGCCACUAAGUGAGGGUGUGCCUUCAGUUAAAGGUCAAAUCAGCUGUCAUGGAAAACUGCAGGGAUAUUUCAGAGAGGCGGUAGUAAAACAGGAGGCUUUCCUAUCAUCCUAUCUGAUCUAGAUAUUCAGCCUGCCUCUGCGUCUUCAUUAUUGCUUUCUGUGCUCGGUGUGAACCUGCCUGUCCACCUACAUGUGCUAAAGGCAUAGCACUCAGCUUGUCUUUUGUGAUACUGAACCUGACUUGAAAUUGGAAUUACCAUAUUGUGCUGUACUUGUGCCUCCAGGACAGGCUUGUACUCUCAAGCACCUAACAUGUAAGCUGAUUUGUCUUCAUUCCUACUUUACCCUGAGUUAACUAACUUGAGUUAGCCAGCCUGCACUCAGAACACAUCUUUGCUGUUUUCUUCACCGUUCUGUGUAAGCAGAAGGGCUCGGAGAUGGAUCGGAAGGCCUCUGUGGCCAAGUUUCGGAAGGCUGGACAUGUGGGGAGUGGUUGGUGGAAGCUGCCGAAUGGACUGAGAAGCCUGAGGACAUCGGGGCAGCAAAGGGUGGUGAAGAUAUCUCAGAGUUUGAUACAACAGAAUAGAUUUUAGGAGAGUGAUGGUGACCAGAGGCUGUGAUUUAACCAUAAUAUUGGCUUAGUAUUAUUGCACUUAAGCAAGCAGGGCUAUGAGGCCAGGGUUGGGCCAACACAGUGGUUCAAGGAAAAGCUCAAGUGUUCCCCAGGCCUUGUCAGCUGACAAAAUAACUGUGGUAAGGUUCAAAGAUUUAUUGCAGGGAAAACAGGACUCCUUGGAGUCAGGGUGGGGGUUAAUCAAUGUACAUUCAUUGUUAAUUUAUGCAUGUAAGCGGGUUCUGGAGUACAGUUGCCAUGCUGGUUUUGAUAAUGCUAACUGCAUCCACCCUGCCAGCUGCUGCAGUGUCGUGGUAGUCUGUGUUGCUGCGUGCAGAAUUAUGGUGUUUUUGUGGGAAUAUUAUGUUCCCUGAAUAGAGCCCCACAGAGCAAUUUGCUUCAUCCUUACAAACCCAUCCAAAUAACUGGCAGUGCCUUACAAAUACAAAACAAUUGAGCAAAUAAAUGUAUUAUACUGUACAUCUGUGACAAAACAAUGCUUUCAUGUGCAAAGAGAAAUGUGUUUGUUUAACUUAUGGUCUCCCAUUUGGAAAUAAAUGCAUCCAUUUAAAUCAAAAUGGGACGUUCUUCACUAUUACAGUAUUUUGCAUGCCAGCUGUAGGAAAUAUGCUGCUUGAAGAGCAGACUCAAAACUUGGAGUGGUAUUACCAGACGCAUGCUUGUGCUGGCUUAUCCUAGACACCACCUCUCUUUUUAUAGGGGGUCCUCUACAUUUGAGUAUGAAUUUCCUGGCUUUGCAUGGCUGGGACAGUUUCUACAAAAAUUUGGGAGUGUGCUUCUCCCUUGUGUGGUAGUCUUGUCUCUUUUGUGCACACUGGAAUGCCUGCCUUUCACCUGAUCUGUAUUUAGAAGAGAGUGCUAACUGAUGGGCAUGCCUCAGAACUUUGCAUUACCAUGACCAUGAGGCACACUGAUUUUCUGCAAGAGUUGUGGCAGUCCAAAUUUUUGAUUGUUUCCUCUUUUUGAUUGUUUCCUAUUUUUGUGUUAAAGAAAUGUUAGUUUCAUUUAUAUGCUGCAGUGAAAGUGAUAGAUGGGAAGAAAAACAAUAAAAUACAGAUUGAAUGUUCCAAUAUUUGUUUUUUAAAAUGUACCACAUUAAAAGUGCCUUAUAAAUGGUUGAGUUCUUGUAAUGAAAGUCUGCUGCAUUUCGGUUUACACAUAAGCUUAACAUCAUCAAGCCAAGUUUGUUCUGGGUGUUAACAUUUGCAUUUUUGAAAGCAGCAGCCUAAUCCAGAGCAAAACCAGAUGAGAAUGUACUUUAAUACAGCACAUUACCAGCUGUGUGCCGGGAGGUGUGAGCAUUCUCAAAAAGGCACUGAAAUUUGAUUUGGGUAGUUUUCCGAGAGUCUGUGAACUUAAUGGAACAAAACUGAAGAUCGCUGCUACCAGUAGCAGGAGUUAUAAACUGGAAUUCCACAGUGACAUGAUUACUAGAAGGGAAAAUAACCAAGAAAUAAUCAAUACCCCUGAUUUUUUCUAAUGUGAAUUUCAAAUAUUAAUAUUAAGACCAUUUCCUAGGCUCAUGAUUCUUCCUUAAUAUAAAUAAUUAUUCUGAUUACGGGUGAGAAGGAUACAGUUGAGAGUUUUAGCUCCUCUGCCCAUAUUGUCUGACCUGCACUGUCCCAUAGUAGUAAUUUCAGGUGUACUAUAAGGUCUGUGCAAGCAAUGUGAUUGUAAUGUCCUUUAGUGGCUGAAGGGCCACAAGUGAUGAGAAUCACAGCUCAGCAAGCCUCGCAUUAGUAAAUGCUCUGUAGUUCAAUUUGGAAACGUCAUAGUCUUCAUCUACCCCAUUUGGACCGCAGCUAUCGUAUUGUUAUAUCCAUCCAUCCAGGGAGCGUGGCAUGUUAGAGCCAGCAGGAAAUGCGGUGUGUUUCUGAAAGCCAGCACCUGUAUUGAUUGAUAGCCUGAGAGGGCUGUGCAGCAAAGGUGGUUUGGCCUAGCUCUGUUUUUCCUCUGGAUUGAUUAAUCAAAUACUUCAAAUAAUUGCUGCGGUUGUGAUUAAUGUUGACUGCAUAGCUAAUUACCCAGAAGAUUAAAAUAACUUUUUUUUUAUAAAAAACUGUAAAUGAGUGUAUUUACUCUGCUCACCCUUCUAACCUUGUUAUGCUUGUAAAUGAAUAGAAAUAUUGAUCCCAGGUGCUACCCAUCUUGCAUCUGUUUAAUUAGGGCAUUAAUUGUAACCCUGCUCACUCACUCCUUCCGACCACCCAUGCUUUCUGCUAUCUUUGUGUAGAUGUCUUGAGGGUGGGGCUGGGAGGGAUCAUUAGGAUAUAUCUGACCUCCAGGACUUACAGGAUUUCCCUGUGCCAGCCCCAUUACUAACUACUCUACCUAAGCUUCUUCUGGCUCCUUGCAACAGUGCCUUCUUGACCAUAUCUCUUGGUAGCAGACUCCACCACCCAGUGGCUGUUGCUGUUAAAACAAUUUUCUGUUUCCUCAGCGAGGUGUUUCCUUCUCUUUGCUUCAAGCCACAUCUUGUUCUUCCAUCUUGUCAGUCUGAGAACGUUUUUCUCUGUCUGUGCACACAUACAAACUACGUUUUAAUUAUGUGCUUAGUUGUAGGAAUGUGUUUCUUGACCAUGGCAGAGCAUGUCAGAAGGCUAGAGGUUUGCCAGUAGAGAUGUCUGCUGUAUUUACCACCAGGGGACACACCUGAAUGUCUCCCAGACUGGCUGUUUUGGCUAGGGGUUGUGUGCCCCAUCACUUUUCCACUCCCAAAGCAGAGCUUCACAAACAAGUUCCUAACAAAAUGUGGGCCUCCUUGUCAAACUGGCAAAAAGCGUGUCAAUUUUAGGAGCAAUAUAAAGGGUGUACCACUUACUGAAGGGACAGCAACCCAGAGAGCUCCUCUGCUCUUACAUUUGUGGAGAUAUAAAUGAAAGAAGCUUUAAGAUCAGCCUCUUAAAGCUCAUGUCAGCUCUCUUCAGUCAGUGCCCUGUGCUUCCAUUUCCUUGCAAUUUGGUUUCCAGAAAAAGAUUGGGUGUCCCAGCAUAUUCUUAAAGCAUUGCUUUAGACAUUGCCAAGCCCAGGUCUUUCUCCAGUGCUAAGACUCCCUCUCAUGCAUGGCCAUCUGGAUGCUGUGGUGGAGCUGUCUCCCUCUUGCUGAAAGACAUUCACAUCUCUUCCACAGCUCUGCUAGAAAUUGCUGCCAUUUUGUGUUUGCUUCUCUACAGCCUGAGUAGCAGAGAUGGCCACUGCGCUGCCUCUGUUGGGAAGACUUUGUGUAGCACACUGGUCUGGCUCUUAUAUUUUGCCUUUUUUUUUUUUUUCCUCAAUCCAGAGCGUAUGCACUGUUCAUACUAAGCUGUAGAGACCACAUUUGUCCUGGGGAGCUCUCAGGUGGCUCAUGGAGAGCUGAAAAGGUGGCUAUCGCAUUUCCUUCUUUUCCCUUUUCCCAGGUUUCCUAAAACUCUGACAUUGCUCUUUAUGAAGAGAAAACAUGACAAUUUGGCCAACUAUCUGUGCAUCGUGGGACUUGUCUCAACUCUUUUUGUCUUACGCAAGUUGAUGGGCUUGAGCAGGCUGGACAGUGACUGUCAGAAAUAGUCUUUCAGAAAUGCAGUACCAGCCCUCAAAUCCUAAACCAUCUGUCAUGGUCAAAUUAAUGUAACCUUCUCCCUGCUGUCAGUGAGAGCUGGGGAAGUACAAUAGCAGCCAGGGCUUGGUCCGGUAGGACUGGUGUGUUCACGUGGUUUUCUCAUAUACUUGGGUCUGUUCCACUGGCUGCCUCGUGGCGGGCUCAAUUCUCAGUCCAGAGCAGAAAUGGUCCACAUUUCUGCUGAGAUAUCCAAAUUUUCCUGUUGUUUCUUUUUCAGCAGGAGGCUUAGUUACGGCAACCUCAGGGCUAUAUGGCCUUGGUACAGGCAUGGCUGGUGCUAGUGUAGCCUACAAAGAUCCAACACAGGAAGCACGCCUGCUGCUGGCCUUGGUGCCUUGUAAGUGACUGUAAGGAUCCCUCUAGUUAGGAGCAGAGGAGAAAAAAGGCAAAAGCUGGUGAAGCUUUAGCACCUGCCUCAAGCAUAGUUCAGCUGAUGAGAAACACCAGUCAGUGCUCUCAGCAAGGGACCUGAUUCCAACCAUCACGCUUGGACUGAGACAGAAUAAUGUGCCAGGGAGGGGAGAUAUCAUAACUUGUGGAAACAGACAGCUUUCCAUCCGCUAGCCUUCUGUGACUCUGUACUGCAAUUCCGUUCAACUGGUUACUCCUUUAUUAUCCAAACUCUCCUGCAACUCCUGAUACUGCUAACUUGUCACAGAUAGCACAAUCACACGAAGGUUGAAACGUCUGCCUGCAGACAUGAAAGGCUGACAGAAUGGAGCAUCUGUCCAGGGGAACCUUGAGAAACUGCAGGAUUUUGCCUACAGAAACCUCGUGACAUUUACAA